GGAUAUUUUAGGUCUUCUCCAACAUGUAAAUUCAACAGACUGGAGUUUUCAGCAAAUAUCUUAAAAAAAUGUCAAAUUUUGAGCAGCUUCACUUCGACUUUUACCAGUCCAAUUACACCAUAGAUGACCAGGAGGAAGGCUGCAACAGCUAUGGGUCUAACGAAAACUUCUCUGGAAGCAUAAAGAGCCAAACAGGAGAGCAGCCUCCAGCCGGAGCUUUUGCCCCAUCCGACAUGCUUCUGUCCUCUAAGAGUUACACAGGUCAGAUUUUGCAGCCCACGUACAGUCCCGAUACUCUCUCUCAUCUUGGUUAUGCUGAUGGAUUUGACGAGGAACCUCCUUUGCUAGAAGAACUUGGGAUCAAUUUUGAGCAUAUAUGGCAAAAAACAUUAACAGUUCUAAAUCCAAUGAAGCCUGCAGAUGGUAGCAUUAUGAAUGAGACAGACCUCACCGGACCUAUCAUUUUCUGUUUGGCCCUUGGAGCAACAUUGCUGAUGGCAGGAAAAGUUCAUUUUGGCUAUGUGUAUGGCAUGAGUGCCAUUGGGUGCCUUGUUAUGCAUGCCCUGCUGAACCUGAUGAGUGACUUGGGAGUCUCACAUGGCUGUGUUGCAAGUGUCUUGGGCUAUUGUCUGCUGCCCAUGCUGAUCCUGUCCUCUUCUGCAGUUAUCUUCUCACUACAUCCCAACAGCUGACAACACCAAGUACCUCACUGGCCUGGAGACUGGAUUGCUAAGGAAUGAACUAUUUUAUGUGAUAUGAUUGCAUUAAGUAAACUAAGUCAAUUGCAUAAAGAGAGCUUUACUCAUCAUGGUUUAGUUGCAAUCAUAAUAUUAGUGGAGAUGAUUUCUGAUAAAAGGACCAACGGGGAUCCCAGGAAUUUUGUUAGCUCUGUUUAUUAUUGGAUGGUGCAGUCUGUCAGCCUCCAAAAUUUUUACCUCUGCAUUGGCUAUGG